UACGUAGGGGGCAAGCGUUGUCCGGAAUCAUUGGGCGUAAAGAGCGUGUAGGCGGCCAGAUAAGUCCGCUGUGAAAUCUCGAGGCUCAACUUCGAGCUGUCGGUGGAAACUGUCUGGCUAGAGUCCGGAAAAGGAGAAUGGAAUUCCUGGUGUAGCGGUGAAAUGCGCAGAUAUCAGGAAGAACACCCGUGGCGAAGGCGGUUCUCUGGGACGGUACUGACGCUGAGACGCGAAAGCGUGGGGAGCGAACAGG
rnacentral:rRNA from 1 species